AUUGAACGCUGGCGGCAUGCCUUACACAUGCAAGUCGAACGGCAGCAUGGAGAGCUUGCUCUCUGAUGGCGAGUGGCGAACGGGUGAGUAAUGCAUCGGAACGUACCGUGUAAUGGGGGAUAACGUAGCGAAUGUUACGCUAAUACCGCAUACGACCUGAGGGUGAAAGCAGGGGAUCGCAAGACCUUGCGUUAUACGAGCGGCCGAUGUCAGAUUAGCUAGUUGGUGAGGUAAAGGCUCACCAAGGCGACGAUCUGUAGCGGGUCUGAUAGGAUGAUCCGCCACACUGGGACUGAGACACGGCCCAGACUCCUACGGGAGGCAGCAGUGGGGAAUUUUGGACAAUGGGGGCAACCCUGAUCCAGCCAGGCCGCGUGAGUGAAGAAGGCCUUCGGGUUGUAAAGCUCUUUCGGCCGGGAAGAAAUCGCACAGGCUAAUACUCUGUGUGGAUGACGGUACCGGCAUAAGAAGCACCGGCUAACUACGUGCCAGCCGCCGCCGUAA
rnacentral:rRNA from 1 species